UACGAAGGGGGCUAGCGUUGCUCGGAAUUACUGGGCGUAAAGGGAGCGUAGGCGGAUAGUUCAGUCAGAGGUGAAAGCCCAGGGCUCAACCUUGGAACUGCCUUUGAUACUGGCUAUCUUGAGUUUGGGAGAGGUGUGUGGAACUCCGAGUGUAGAGGUGAAAUUCGUAGAUAUUCGGAAGAACACCAGUGGCGAAGGCGACGCACUGGCCCAAUAUUGACGCUGAGGCUCGAAAGCGUGGGGAGCAAACAGG
rnacentral:rRNA from 1 species